rnacentral:rRNA from 1 species
AUUGAACGCUGGCGGCAGGCCUAACACAUGCAAGUCGAACGGUAACAGGAAGAAGCUUGCUUCUUUGCUGACGAGUGGCGGACGGGUGAGUAAUGUCUGGGAAACUGCCUGAUGGAGGGGGAUAACUACUGGAAACGGUAGCUAAUACCGCAUAACGUCGCAAGACCAAAGAGGGGGACCUUCGGGCCUCUUGCCAUCGGAUGUGCCCAGAUGGGAUUAGCUAGUAGGUGGGGUAACGGCUCACCUAGGCGACGAUCCCUAGCUGGUCUGAGAGGAUGACCAGCCACACUGGAACUGAGACACGGUCCAGACUCCUACGGGAGGCAGCAGUGGGGAAUAUUGCACAAUGGGCGCAAGCCUGAUGCAGCCAUGCCGCGUGUAUGAAGAAGGCCUUCGGGUUGUAAAGUACUUUCAGCGGGGAGGAAGGGAGUAAGGUUAAUACCUUUGCUCAUUGACGUUACCCGCAGAAGAAGCACCGGCUAACUCCGUA